AUUGAACGCUGGCGGCAGGCUUAACACAUGCAAGUCGAGCGGAGCGAGGGUGCUUGCACCUUAGCUUAGCGGCGGACGGGUGAGUAAUGCUUAGGAAUCUGCCUAUUAGGGGGGGACAACAUUCCGAGAGGAUGCUAAUACAGCAUACGCCCUACGGGGAAAAUCAGGGGACCUGAGGAGCUUGCGCUAAUAGAUGAGUCUAAGGUGGAUUUGCUAGUUGGUGGGGUAAAGGCCUACCAAGGCGACGAUAUGUAGCGGGUGUGAGAGGAUGAUCCGCCACACUGGGACUGGGACACGGCCCAGAUUCCUACGGGAGGCAGCAGUGGGGAAUAUUGGAAAAUGGGCGUAAGCCUGAUCCAGCCAUGCCGCGUGUGUGAAGAAGGCCUUUUGGUUGUAAAGCACUUUAAGCGAGGAGGAGGCUACUAGUAUUAAUACUACUGGAUAGUGGACGUUACUCGCAGAAUAAGCACCGGCUAACUCUGUGCCAGCAGCCGCCGUAACAC
rnacentral:rRNA from 1 species